CCUACGGGAGACAGCAGUGAGGAAUAUUGGUCAAUGGACGAGAGUCUGAACCAGCCAAGUAGCGUGAAGGAUGACUGCCCUAUGGGUUGUAAACUUCUUUUAUAUGGGAAUAAAAUGUUCCACGUGUGGGAUUUUGUAUGUACCAUAUGAAUAAGGCUCGGCUAACUCCGUGGCCGCAGCCGCGGUAAUACGGAGGAUCCGGGCGUUAUCCGGAUUUAGUGGGUUUAAAGGGAGCGUAGGUGGAUUGUUAAGGCAGUUGUGAAAGUUUGCGGCUCAACCGUAAAAUUGCAGUUGAAACUGGCGGUCUUGAGUACAGUAGAGGUGGGCGGAAUUCGUGGUGUAGCGGUGAAAUGCUUAGAUAUCACGCAGAACUCCGAUUGCGAAGGCAGCUCACUGGACUGCAACUGACACUGAGGCUCGAAAGUGUGGGUAUCAAACAGGAUUAGAUACCCGUGUAGUC
rnacentral:rRNA from 1 species